rnacentral:rRNA from 1 species
GUCUAUGGCCAUGCCACCCUGAACAAUCUCUAUCCUGUCUGAUCUCGGAAGCUAAGUAGGAUUGGACCUGGUUAGUACUUGGAUGGGAGACCACCUAGGAAGACCAGGUGCUGUAGGUG